rnacentral:rRNA from 1 species
UACAGAGGUCCCGAGCGUUGUUCGGAUUCAUUGGGCGUAAAGGGUGCGUAGGCGGCGGGGUAAGUCUGAUGUGAAAUCCCGGGGCUCAACCCCGGAACUGCAUUGGAUACUGCCUUGCUAGAGUACUGGAAAGGGAACUGGAAUUUACGGUGUAGCGGUGAAAUGCGCAGAUAUCGGGAAGAACACCCGUGGCGAAGGCGGUUCUCUGGGACGGUACUGACGCUGAGACGCGAAAGCGUGGGGAGCGAACAGG